GGCCCGUGUAGUAAUACGAUACAGUAAUCACACAUUCAGCUGAAGACGGGUUCGCAAAAAAAGAAUCUCGAAUGGUCAACAAUAAUACAUCGCUCAAGGUGAAUAAUUAUCAUCGCUUAAGGUGAAUAAUUAUCUAUUUUAACAGAACAACUAAUUUCAACAAUAAAAACAAAUAACAAAACAUUGUCCAAUUUGAAACAGGUGUUUACGAGUUGUCCUACGCUUCAGACUCG
rnacentral:lncRNA from 1 species